AUGUGCAUUUUGUAGGAAGAAAACUGUGAAUGGAAAAAGGAGAAGGGGAGAGAAACGGGGGAAAUCUGGAUAAUACAUUAAAGUAACCAUAAUUUUGGAGAUGCAUUCAUCUUAUUGAAAAUAUAUUUCCUCAUGGUUGUGAUUCCUCUUCACUCUUUUGAAUUUGGAAGGAUGGCAUACACAUCUGAAAAAUACCACUACUUCCUUCAUUGGACUGCAAGGUAUUUCUGUUUGGAAAAGUAAUGGAGUCCAGUCAACUUCAUUGAUCGCCAAGGACUGUCAAAAUUAUAAAACUUGCUGUGGAGCUCUGACAUGCCAGAAGCCGCUAGAAAAAGAAGUUUGACAUUCAGAAACUUAUCAAGAGGUUCUACUCUUUGGAUAGAGACCAAAAUCAUACUUUGAAAAAGCCUGACAGGUUUCUUCGGAAAAGUGGCCAUCCAUGGAAUGAAUGAAAUGUUCUCUUUCUAUUCCAAUCCAACUUAGAAAUAAUGUUUCAUUCAAGAUAAGGCUCGUGGCUUAGGAGAUUGUGACCUGGCUUGCAUCAUUCUAAGACUUCUAUCG
rnacentral:lncRNA from 1 species